GUUAUAUGGUCAAGUGAAGAAGCGCAUACGGUGGAUGCCUUGGCAGUCAGAGGCGAUGAAAGACGUGGUAGCCUGCGAAAAGCUUCGGGGAGUCGGCAAACAGACUUUGAUCCGGAGAUCUCUGAAUGGGGGAACCCACCUAGGAUAACCUAGGUAUCUUGUACUGAAUCCAUAGGUGCAAGAGGCGAACCAGGGGAACUGAAACAUCUAAGUACCCUGAGGAAAAGAAAUCAACCGAGAUUCCCUUAGUAGUGGCGAGCGAACGGGGAUUAGCCCUUAAGCUUCAUUGAUUUUAGCGGAACGCUCUGGAAAGUGCGGCCAUAGUGGGUGAUAGCCCCGUACGCGAAAGGAUCUUUGAAGUGAAAUCGAGUAGGACGGAGCACGAGAAACUUUGUCUGAACAUGGGGGGACCAUCCUCCAAGGCUAAAUACUACUGACUGACCGAUAGUGAACCAGUACCGUGAGGGAAAGGCGAAAAGAACCCCGGAGAGGGGAGUGAAAUAGAACCUGAAACCGUAUGCGUACAAGCAGUGGGAGCCUACUUGUUAGGUGACUGCGUACCUUUUGUAUAAUGGGUCAGCGACUUAUAUUCAGUGGCAAGCUUAACCGUAUAGGGUAGGCGUAGCGAAAGCGAGUCUUAAUAGGGCGUUUAGUCGCUGGGUAUAGACCCGAAACCGGGCGAUCUAUCCAUGAGCAGGUUGAAGGUUAGGUAACACUGACUGGAGGACCGAACCCACUCCCGUUGAAAAGGUAGGGGAUGACUUGUGGAUCGGAGUGAAAGGCUAAUCAAGCUCGGAGAUAGCUGGUUCUCCUCGAAAGCUAUUUAGGUAGCGCCUCAUGUAUCACUCUGGGGGGUAGAGCACUGUUUCGGCUAGGGGGUCAUCCCGACUUACCAAACCGAUGCAAACUCCGAAUACCCAGAAGUGCCGAGCAUGGGAGACACACGGCGGGUGCUAACGUCCGUCGUGAAAAGGGAAACAACCCAGACCGCCAGCUAAGGUCCCAAAGUUGUGGUUAAGUGGUAAACGAUGUGGGAAGGCUUAGACAGCUAGGAGGUUGGCUUAGAAGCAGCCAUCCUUUAAAGAAAGCGUAAUAGCUCACUAGUCGAGUCGGCCUGCGCGGAAGAUGUAACGGGGCUCAAACCACACACCGAAGCUGCGGGUGUCACGUAAGUGACGCGGUAGAGGAGCGUUCUGUAAGCCUGUGAAGGUGAGUUGAGAAGCUUGCUGGAGGUAUCAGAAGUGCGAAUGCUGACAUGAGUAACGACAAUGGGUGUGAAAAACACCCACGCCGAAAGACCAAGGGUUCCUGCGCAACGUUAAUCGACGCAGGGUUAGUCGGUUCCUAAGGCGAGGCUGAAAAGCGUAGUCGAUGGGAAACAGGUUAAUAUUCCUGUACUUCUGGUUACUGCGAUGGAGGGACGGAGAAGGCUAGGCCAGCUUGGCGUUGGUUGUCCAAGUUUAAGGUGGUAGGCUGAAAUCUUAGGUAAAUCCGGGGUUUCAAGGCCGAGAGCUGAUGACGAGUCGUCUUUUAGAUGACGAAGUGGUUGAUGCCAUGCUUCCAAGAAAAGCUUCUAAGCUUCAGGUAACCAGGAACCGUACCCCAAACCGACACAGGUGGUCGGGUAGAGAAUACCAAGGCGCUUGAGAGAACUCGGGUGAAGGAACUAGGCAAAAUGGCACCGUAACUUCGGGAGAAGGUGCGCCGGCUAGGGUGAAGGAUUUACUCCGUAAGCUCUGGCUGGUCGAAGAUACCAGGCCGCUGCGACUGUUUAUUAAAAACACAGCACUCUGCAAACACGAAAGUGGACGUAUAGGGUGUGACGCCUGCCCGGUGCCGGAAGGUUAAUUGAUGGGGUUAGCGCAAGCGAAGCUCUUGAUCGAAGCCCCGGUAAACGGCGGCCGUAACUAUAACGGUCCUAAGGUAGCGAAAUUCCUUGUCGGGUAAGUUCCGACCUGCACGAAUGGCGUAACGAUGGCGGCGCUGUCUCCACCCGAGACUCAGUGAAAUUGAAAUCGCUGUGAAGAUGCAGUGUAUCCGCGGCUAGACGGAAAGACCCCGUGAACCUUUACUGUAGCUUUGCACUGGACUUUGAGCCUGCUUGUGUAGGAUAGGUGGGAGGCUUUGAAGCGUGGACGCCAGUUCGCGUGGAGCCAUCCUUGAAAUACCACCCUGGCAUGCUUGAGGUUCUAACUCUGGUCCG
rnacentral:rRNA from 1 species